rnacentral:sRNA from 1 species
AAAUUAUUUCGAUUCGGCUAAGCGCGUUGUGAGGGAGCCUCCUCUGCCACUAGACAUAGAUCUUGGACCGGACCUUGAUGACAUCAAAUUAAAAAUAGACCGUGCUGCUGAUACUCUCUCCAACAAAGUUAGCGCUAACUCAAAGACCAUACGCAAAGCCAUAGAUGUAGUAAGACUGGCUCUCGUUAUCGUUGCUGUUGUUUUGUUCUUUGUUGCAUUUCUCCGGCUCUUCUUUUGUUUACUUGCGUGGAAGUGUCCAGUGUACUCCUUGGUAGUUAUUGGAUGGAUUCUUGU